UCACUGCUUUUGUCCCCGCAGUGCCACCACCAUGUCGUGACAUUGUCACCAUCUUGAUACCACGCUGUCACCAUCAUGUCGUGACACUGCCACCAUUGUGUCGCCAUGCUGUCACCAGCAUGUCAUGACAUUGUCACCAUCUUGUCACCAAGUUGUCACUGCGCUGCCAGCAGUGUCACCAUCUCGUCACCUUGCUGUCACCAUCAUGUCGUGACACUGCCACCACCUUGUCACCAAUCUGUCACCAUGCUGUCGCUGCUUUUGUGCCCACAGUGUCACCGCAGUGCCACCAUCUUUGUCGUGACACUGUCACCAUCAUGUCGUGACACUGUCACCAUCGUGUCAUCACGCUGUCACUAUGCUGUCGCUGCUUUUGUCACCGCAGUGUCACUGCAGUGCCACCAUCCUGUCGUGACACUGCCGCCAUCAUGUUGUGACACUGCCACCAUCGUGUCGUGACAUCGUCACCAUCGUGUCACCACGCUGUCACUGUGCUGUCACUGCUUUUGUCACCACACUGUCACCACACUGUCACCAUCAUGUCGUGACACUGCCACCAUCGUGUCGCCAUGUUGUCGCCAGCAUGUCGUGACACUGUCACCACCUUGUCACCAAUCUGUCACCAUGCUGUCGCUGCUUUUGUCCCCACAGUUUCACCGCAGUGCCACCAUCCUGUCGUGACACUGUCACCAGCAUGUCGUGACAUUGCCACCGCAGUGCCGCCACCUUGUCACCAUGUUGUCACCACUGGGUCGUGACAUUGUCACCAUAGUGCCACCACACUGUCACUGUCACAUUGUCACACUGUCACCACGUCGUCACCGUCACGGUGUCACACUGUCACCAACUUGUCACCACGCCGCCACCAUCAUGUCACGACAUUGUCCCCAACUCGCCACCCCGCUGCCGUCGUCACGUCGGCACACUGUCCCCACCUUGUCACCGUCGUGUCACCGUCGUGUCACCACACUGCCACCACCUUGUCACCAUCAUGUCACCAUCAUGUCACCAUCGUGUCGCCACCUCGUCUCAAAACUGUCCCCAACUUGUCACCGUGUUGUCACGACAUUGUCACCAUCUUGUCUCAAAGUUGUCCCCAACUUGUCACCAUGUUGUCACCAUGUUGUCCCCAUCUUGUGCCCAACUUGUCACCAUCGUGUCCCCAGCUUGUCACCAUGUUGUCACGACAUUGUCCCCAUGCUGUCACCAUCUUGUCUCAAAGUUGUCCCCAAUUUGUCACCACGUUGUCCCCAACUUGUCACCAUCUUGUCUCAAAACUGUCCCCAACUUGUCACCAUGUUGUCAUGACAUUGUCCCCAACUUGUCACCAUGUUGUCCCCAUCUUGUCACCAUCUUGUCUCAGAACUGUCCCCAACUUGUCACCAUGUUGUCACGACAUUGUCCCCAACUUGUCACCAUGCUGCCACCAUCUUGUCUCAAAGUUGUCCCCAACUUGUCCCCAUCGUGUCACCAGGUUGUCACCACUCUCUCCCCAACUUGUCACCAUCUUGUCCCCAUCUUGUCCCCAUCUUGUCUCAGAACUGUCCCCAACUUGUCACCAUGUUGUCACCACAUUGUCACCAUCGUGUCACCAUGUUGCCACCAUCUUGUCUCAAGGUUGUCCCCAAAUUGUCACUACAUUGUCCCCAGCUUGUCACCACUCUGUCCCCAACUUGUCCCCAUCUUGUCACCGUGUUACCGCCAUCUUGUCUCCAAGUUGUCCCCAAUUUGUCACCAUCGUGUCCCCAAUUGUCACCAUGUUGUCACCAUGUUGCCACCAUCUUGUCGCAAAACUGUCCCCAACUUGUCACCUCUUUGUCCCCAACUUGUCACCGUGUUGUCACAACAUUGUCCCCAUCUUGCCACCAUGCUGCCCCCAUCUUGUCUCAAAGUUGUCCCCAACUUGUCACCAUCGUGUCACCAAGUUGUCACCACAUUGCCACCGUCUUGUCACCACGUUGUCCCCAAACUGUCACCACUCUGUCCCCAACUUGUCACCACUCUGUCCCCAACUUGUCCCCAUCUUGUCACCGUGUUACCGCCAUCUUGUCUCCAAUUUGUCCCCAGUUUGUCACCAUGUUGUCCCCAACUUGUCCCCAUCUUAUCUCAAAGUUGUCCCCAACUUGCCACCAUGUUGUCCCCAUCUUGUCUCAAAACUGUCCCCAACUUGUCACCGUGUUGCCACCACAUUGUCCCCAUCUUGCCAUCCAUUUGUCCCCAACUUGUCACCACAUUGUCCCCAUCUUGCCACCAUGCUGCCACCAUCUUGUCUCAAGGUUGUCCCCAACUUGUCACCACUCUGUCCCCAACUUGUCCCCAUCUUGUCACCGUGUUACCGCCAUCUUGUCUCCAAGCUGUCCCCAAUUUGUCACCACUUUGUCCCCAAUUUGUCACCAUGUUGUCACCACAUUGUCACCAUCUUGCCGCCAUCUUGUCUCAAAGUUGCCCCCAAUUUGUCACCACGUUGUCCCCAACUUGUCACCACGUUGCCGCCAUCUUGUCUCAAAGUUGUCCCCAACUUGUCACCAUCGUGUCACCACGUUGUCCCCAACUUGUCACCACAUCAUCCCAUCUUGUCACCAUGUUGCCGCCAUCUUGUCUCAAAAUUGUCCCCAACUUGUCACCAUGUUGCCGCCAUCUUGUCACCAUCUUAUCUCAAAACUGUCCCCAUCUUGUCACCAAGUUGUCCCCAUCUUGUCACCACGUUGCCGCCAUCUUGUCUCAGAGCUGUCCCCAACUUGUCCCCACGCUCUCCUGGCGUCACCGCGUUGCCACCAUCACACCUCCACGUUGUCCCCAACUUGUCACCUCCUCUUCUCACCGCAUCCCGGUGUCACCGCCGUGUCCCGGAGUUGUCACCGUGUUGUCACCAUCGUGUCACCGCGUUGUCAGCCAGGGGUUGGGGUGGACAGGGACAUGGGGACACGGGGGAGGGGGGACGUGGGGACAUCGGGGACAAUGGGGACAUUGGGGAGGGUUGGGGACACUGGAGAUGGGUUGGGGACAUUGGAGGGUUGGGGACAUUGGGGACAAUGGGGUGUUGGGGACAUUGGGGACAUUGGGGUUGGGAUGUUGGGGUCACCAUGGUUGGGACAUUGGGGACAUUGGGGCCACCGUAGUUGGGACACUGGGGACACUGGGGACAUUGGGGACAUUGGGGACAUUGGGGUGGGGAUGCUGGGGACUUUGGAGACUUUGGGGAGAUUGGGGUUGGGAUGUUGGUGACUUUGGGGACAUGGUUGUCCCGACGAAUCUGGGGCCGCUGUCUUUGAGAUAUUGGGGGCCAUUGGGGCCAUCAGACCCGGAUGUUGGGGACAUGGUUGUCCCCACGUCCCCAGCUGGGGUCCCCCACGGCGCUGGCCGACCCCGAGACGGAGCAGAGGCUGCGAGGGGCGGCGCUGAGGGGGGGUCACACCCUCUAUGUCCCCCGUGGGGCCCUGUGGGGUUGCGAGGACAUCCGGCGCAUGGAUGACAGCGGGGCGCUGGCCGUGAGCAUUUGGGGACAACGGUGACAUUGGACACAGCGGGGUUGGGGACGUUGUGGGGGUUGGGGACACCGUUGAGGUUGGGGAAGGCGGGGGGUUGAGGGCACCGAGGGGGCAGAGUGCGGUCUGGGGACACCGUGGGGUUGGGGACAGCAUAGAGGUUGGGGACACCGAGGGGACACCAUGGGGUUGGGGACACCAAGGAGACACUGUGGGGUUGGGGACAGC
rnacentral:lncRNA from 1 species